AGGAAGGACUAAGGAGGGCCACCUCACAUCAAAUCGUUCCACAUGUGAGAUCGGGAAUAGGUUGGAGGAUCGGGAAGUACUCCUCGAUUGAAAAAGUGAGAAGUCAAGCGGUGAAAAGGGAUGCAGGAGGUGUGGGAACACCGAUCCCUUCAUGCAACAGAAUAAAGACUUUUCGACAAAUAGCAAUGGGGUGGUGGUUCAUUGGCAAAGGGUGGGCCUAGGGUGUUACCCUAGGCUGGUAUAAUGUAGAUGGGCUCAAGUGAAGGUAUGUAGAUGGGCUCAAGUAAAGAUCAGAAUGCUGAGGAGUUGAAGGCCCAUAAGGGUUUGUUCGUUGUCAUAUAAUACAAGAGAGUGUUAAGUUUGUGAGUUCGUUCAAUCAUAACUCUUUACAUACAUCUCAGUAGAUAUUUUCUCUCUCUAAGCGUUUCAUCGUUCUAGGGUUAUCUGAGCUUUCUGUGUUUGAGAUCAUCUAUAGUUUGUUUAGAUUGUUGAGGAGUGACACAGAUCAUCAUGUUGAUGUCUACGUGUGAGGGUUUAUCUUUCUGUGUGAGUUCUGAGUCAUUUGUAUUCGUUACAACGAUUUGUGUUGAAUAAAGUUUCCAUCUAUGAUA